rnacentral:snRNA from 1 species
GCACUUACCUGGCGGGGAGGCAUCACGACGGUUUCCAGGGCGAGGCGUGUUCACUGCACUCCGGCUGUGCGGUUUCCCCGGACGCGGGAACCUCGGCUGCGUAAUCUGUGGUAGUGGGGACUGCGUUCGUGCCCUCCCCUC